rnacentral:misc_RNA from 1 species
CCAGGAGUUGGUCUGGGGUGA